rnacentral:rRNA from 1 species
GACCUACGGGAGGCAGCAGUGAGGAAUAUUGGUCAAUGGGCGGAAGCCUGAACCAGCCAAGUCGCGUGAGGGAAUAAGGCCCUACGGGUCGUAAACCUCUUUUGCCGGGGAGCAAGGGCGGGGACGUGUCCCGGCCCGGAGAGUACCCGGAGAAAAAGCAUCGGCUAACUCCGUGCCAGCAGCCGCGGUAAUACGGAGGAUGCGAGCGUUAUCCGGAUUUAUUGGGUUUAAGGGGAGCGUAGGCGGGCCGUUAAGUCAGUUGUGAAAGUUCGGGGCUCAACCCCGGAAUUGCAGUUGAAACUGCG